rnacentral:tRNA from 1 species
GGAGGGGUGUCCGAGUGGUUUAAGGAGCACGCCUGGAAAGCGUGUGGGGUGUAAAAGCCCUCGCGGGUUCGAAUCCCGCCCCCUCCGCCA